GUGGGGAAUCUUGCGCAAUGGGCGAAAGCCUGACGCAGCCAUGCCGCGUGAAUGAUGAAGGUCUUAGGAUUGUAAAAUUCUUUCACCGGGGACGAUAAUGACGGUACCCGGAGAAGAAGCCCCGGCUAACUUCGUGCCAGCAGCCGCGGUAAUACGAAGGGGGCUAGCGUUGCUCGGAAUUACUGGGCGUAAAGGUCGCGUAGGCGGACAGUUUAGUCAGAGGUGAAAGCCAAGGGCUCAACCUUGGAAUUGCCUUUGAUACUGGCUGUCUUGAGUACGGGAGAGGUGAGUGGAACUCCGAGUGUAGAGGUGAAAUUCGUAGAUAUUCGGAAGAACACCAGUGGCGAAGGCGACUCACUGGCCCGUUACUGACGCUGAGGCGCGAAAGCGUGGGGAGCAAACAGGAUUAGAAACCCUGGUAGUCC
rnacentral:rRNA from 1 species